AAAGAGGACAGCCGCUCCGAGCCCUCCGUCUACGGCUGUUUGGCCUCAGAUGCGCCCAUGUCCACCGGCAAGAAGUCAGGGAGACGUCUGCGUCAAAGUCCCGAGAUGCUGGUGACUGGGAAGCUCACACGUGCCCGACGGCCUGUUUGGAGACUGACCAGUUGACUGGAAAUACACCAAAGGAAAAAAAAAAAACAAAAAAAACCGCCUUUAAAACCCCAAAUAAUCCCACGACACGAUUUUUUUCUCAACCCGUAAUUCAUUUACAACCAGCGGUUAGUGCAGUUGGACCACACCGUGCGCUCAGCACGGCCAGCUCGAGCCCCCGAAAGUUGCAGGAGGCCAGACAGAUUUUCCUGCGGGUCUCAGGUAAUAAAACGGCUUCUGAAAAACGUGAAUAAACUCGAGCAAAUGUGUUUCUGGAACGAAAAAAUCGGAGGCUUUGUUGCAUAGUUGCUCGGCGCACAAUCGAAAAAUAACAUUUAUUAGCACUGCAAUGAGACAGCCAGGUUGUUGAUUUGCCAAACAACUCACCACCAACCAAACGUGGAGUGCGAAGCUUUUCAGGUUUUGUUUUUUUUUGUUUUUUUUAAAAAUGGCCAAAGAACACAGGCUAUUUCUGAAAGCUAAAACCUGCAGAAAAAAAAGAGAUGGCUCUCGCGGGUGCAUUUACCUGCAAAGCACCUUUGCAAUGAAACUGUGCUGGGAAAAAAAAAAAAAAAAAGGAUAGGUAAAGACGUUGUCAAGUUUAGUCCCAGAUCAAAUCUAUGUUUAUGAAGAAUUUCAAAAAAUGGGCCUAGAGCAAAAGCAGAACUACACCCGGGCUACAUGUUGAUGAGCAUUAAAAUGUUGCUGUAAUGAUUCAAGUAUGGAAUAAAAACCGGGAAGCUGUCUGAUGAAACAAGUCCAACCUGUGUGAAUAAUAACUUCCAAAAGUCUGAUCGCCAUCGCAAAACAAUCGGCCCAGUUCGAUGAAACUGGCUCGUUACAUAUCUGUACACUCAAUCAUUAAUGCUACACAGAGGAAACCCACUUGCUUUUGUCUGUUAAUGUGGCUUAAAUAAUAAUUUAGACUCCCUCCUGCUGAUGCUGAUGCACCAUAUGCUUGUAGCAGCUGACCUCGUUUAAAUUAGGCAAUAAUUCCCAUGUUUUUCUUAAAAUAAUGUUUAAGAAAAUGUGGCCUGCUGGUCUGAAUUUAACAUGGUUCCCCGACACGAUUUUUGUUUAUAAAAUUAAAACCAUCCACAGCCAUCAGAUUGUUGUAUUUUGUGGGGAGGAGAGAGACAAUAAUAAAAUAACUCAAAACAU